UUCAAGGGAUAGCGCAGUCAGUAGAACAUGAGACUCUUAAUCUCAGGUUUGUGGGUUCAAGUCCCAAAUUGGGCGAAG